AUUUUUUAAUCUCACUACAACGUGAUUCGUCACGCCAUGUCCAUAGCCACAAGGAGACCCAAAAUAUUUUUUUGGCAACACUGUUCUGACACUCGACAUUCUAUUGUAUUGUUACAUUAUCUAAGUGUUUGUGAUGACGAGAUUCUUUUAAAUUGAAUCCCAAUCAAAGGAGUAAAAGCCUUAAGGAGACUGUAAGCAUGCUAUUGCAUUUUUGGCUUGGCUGCAUAGACGUAUUGAAGAUGCACCAUCUACUAUUAUCAACUGUUAGUGGAAAAAAUCAAAGUUGUCUGCUGUGGGUACAAAUCUAAUAAAAUUAUCCAUGCAUUAUUUAGUUAGCACCAGUUCAAGGCAACCAGAAAAGAUUUUCUACAAUUUUGUAAGUCUUCAAUAGACAUACAAGCAUGUGAAGUAAAUUUGCACCUAGGGAACAAUAAAUCUCUCCCUUAUGGCAUGAGCGUAGAUAUGCCAGAAUAACAGCAUCAAAAGCAGCACAUUGUAGGAAAAAAGAGGAAAAUUAUUAGAAAAUGCUGUUAUUAAGGAAGUAGAAAAUAUAAUGAAAAUAAAGAUUAAUUCAAGUGGAUUGCAUUUGAAUCCCUCAUAUCCUAUCAUAGGAGCAUCACCAGAUGGGGAAAAUGAAAUAUAUACGAUUGAAAUUAAAUGCCCUUCAUCUGGAAAAGCCUUGACAUUAUACUUAGAAAAUAAUUCAGACAUCUGCAAAAUAUCAAAAAAUAGUCAUAAUUGAUGUAGAAUAUAACAAGGAGUAUUGUGAAUACCUAUUUGAUAAGUGUACAGCUUUUUAGUGUUAAGCUAUUUUUCCUCUUUUGUUUAAAGAUAAAAAGGAAUAAAAGUAUAUUUAAAGUUA